rnacentral:rRNA from 1 species
UACGUAUGGAGCAAGCGUUAUCCGGAUUUACUGGGUGUAAAGGGAGCGCAGGCGGCUUUGCAAGUCUGAUGUGAAAGGCCGGGGCUCAACCCCGGGACUGCAUUGGAAACUGUAAAGCUAGAGUGCCGGAGAGGUAAGCGGAAUCCCUAGUGUAGCGGUGAAAUGCGUAGAUAUUAGGAGGAACACCAGUGGCGAAGGCGGCUUACUGGACGGCAACUGACGCUGAGGCUCGAAAGCGUGGGGAGCAAACAGG